rnacentral:rRNA from 1 species
UACGGGGGUGGCAAGCGUUGUUCGGAAUUACUGGGCGUAAAGGGCUCGUAGGUGGCCAACUAAGUCAGACGUGAAAUCCCUCGGCUUAACCGGGGAACUGCGUCUGAUACUGGAUGGCUUGAGUUUGGGAGAGGGACGCGGAAUUCCAGGUGUAGCGGUGAAAUGCGUAGAUAUCUGGAGGAACACCGGUGGCGAAGGCGGCGUCCUGGACCAACACUGACACUGAGGAGCGAAAGCCAGGGGAGCAAACGGG